rnacentral:rRNA from 1 species
AUGGUCCGUGCUUCCUCGAUGGACCAGAUGGACGGCGGUGGCGCCGGCAGGCGGGUGAAGGUGGUGGGGAAGGUAGAGAGGCUCGACGGGCAGUCGCUGACCUACUCCGAGUUCGUCGACCGCUUCAUGAAGCCGAACCUCCCCGUCGUCCUCACGGGCCUCACCUCCUCCUGGCCAUCCUGCGAGGACUGGACGUUUGCCGGCCCCGACGACCGCCGCCGCCCCAACCUCCCCUUUUUCGCGCAAAACUUCUCCUCUCCUCGCGUUCAGGUUGCCGACUGUUCCGCCAGGGAGUACACGGACCACAAGCGCCUAGAGAUGUCCAUGCAGGAAAUCGUGGACCAUUGGGUUAGGAAUUCGAAUACUGUUUCAAGCAGCGGUCAUUGUGAAGCUUCCUCGCUUUACCUGAAGGAUUGGCAUUUUGUUAAAGAGUACCCUGAUUAUGUCGCAUACACCACACCACCGUUCUUCGUCGAUGAUUGGCUCAACAUGUAUCUUGACAGUCAUCCCAUGCAUAGAGAUUCUGACAUUGCCAACCACAAAAAUGAAGUAAACUGUGCUGACUAUCGAUUUGUUUACAUUGGAGCAAAAGGAACUUGGACCCCUCUUCAUGCUGAUGUUUUUAGGUCAUACAGCUGGUCAGCAAAUGUGUGUGGGAGAAAACUAUGGCUCUUUCUGGCACCAUCGCAGAGUCAUCUUAUAUUUGAUAGGAACCUACGAUCAUCGGUUUAUGACAUAAAUGAAGAUGUUUCUGAAAAGCAGUUUCCUGAAUUCAAUAAGGCUGAAUGGAUAGAGUGUAUUCAAGAGCAGAAUGAAAUAAUUUUUGUGCCCAGUGGGUGGUAUCACCAAGUCUAUAAUCUGGAGGAUACUAUAUCUAUCAACCAUAAUUGGUUCAAUGCCUACAACCUUCAUUGGGUGUGGAACUUGCUUCAUGAAGACCACAAAGUUGCAAAAGAGUAUAUUGAAGACAUCCGCGAUAUAUGUGAUAAUUUUGAGGCGCUUUGUCAACGCAACUUGGCAGCAAAUACAGGCAUGAACUUCUAUGAUUUCUUCAUUUUUAUCACACGGUUUGUUUUGGCCAAUGUAAUUGAGCUUUACCAUGUCCAAGAGCCCGAGGAUGCUAAAGUCAAUUCACCAGAAGCCACUCACCAUUAUGUGUAUAACCUUAUGCAAAUUCGGGAAGUUGCAUCUAAAAUGAUUUCUGCAGAGGCUUUUAGUAUUGAGAAUCUUUGUGUUAUCUCUGAAGGAAAUCGGAGUGCUAUGUCAGAUGUUACAAAAAUAUUAAAAGACGAUGGCUUCAGAAGGCUAUGGAUGACAUUGUCCGAGGCGUAUGAAUGCAUUCGCAGGGGGCAAAGAAUUUUGUACAAAGUGAGGUAUUUAAAUCAGAAAGGCUGUUUGUCGGUGACCUGUUCGAAAUCUGAUUGUAAUGUUGUUGAUCGCAUUACUUAUUUUAUGCGUGAAAUUCGUGGACCUGAGGAUCUGGUGAGGUUAAUUGAUACUGCUCUACCCGAGAGAUGA